rnacentral:tRNA from 1 species
GCCCCGUUAGGCUAAUGGAUAAACCAGCAGACUACGGAUCUGCAUUUAGAAGUUCGAAUCUUCUACGGGGUA